UACUAAUAGUUACGGUUACAGCUUGGUGUC
rnacentral:piRNA from 1 species